GAAGACGUAGAACUCUCAGCUCUGCCUGCACCAUGCCUGCCUGGAUGCUGCCAUGCUCCCACCUUGAUGAUAAUGGACUGAACCUCUGAACCUGGACAGAAUGAGCAUCUCCAAUCUGAAAGUCCAGAACGUCACCUUGGCCAGAUCAGACAUGCUCACCAUGCUUACCAUGCCCCACGCUGGAAAUCUCUGCAUUUCCUGUCCCAGGUGUUUCAGGUAAGGGACACCCAAUCUAUGUUUGUAUUUCAGUCUACACAGUGACAAAUGACAAAGCCAACAACUGUUCUACUGCUCCAGGAGAAAAGAGAACUACAUACCGUGUGGGUAAGCGAUGCAGGAGGCACAUCCCUUAGAAACAGCAGCAGCUGCCAUGAGUCCAAAGAAGCCAGAGGAACUUUUCUCAGCUCCAUCUGUGGAGGAGACGAUCGGAGCGUCUUUCAAACACUUCUUUAAGCUCUCAUAAAUAGCAAAGCAGAUGAUUGUCUCCGAGAUCCCAGCGUAGGAGGCGGUCAGCCCUCUAUAGAAGCCGCGGACGCCUUCUGUCUGGUAGACACGCCGAGCACACUGGAGUGUGUUCAUCUGCUUGCAGCCCCUCACCCUGUCGGAGGAUCAACAAUGCGCACUGAGAGACGUACCACACCAAGUCAUAAAGGGCAUCAGCCAUGACACAGAAACCACACAGGAGAAGAAACCUGUCCUUGUUCUGAGGCCCCCUGACCUCUGGCCCACUGUGAGGCCAGUUCAAUUAGCUGAGAAACCUGACAGGUCAUAUAACAGAUGGCAUCUGAAUCUACAAUCCCUGAAGCAGGCUUAUAGCCUCUGACCCAAUUCUAGAAACUGCUAAUGGAAGACAACACUACAACACUUGUCAGAGGA
rnacentral:lncRNA from 1 species